rnacentral:rRNA from 1 species
UGGUGGGUUGCCUUGUCAGGUUGAUUCCGGUAACGAACGAGACCUCAGCCUGCUAAAUAGUGACGUCUGCUGCGGCAGUCGCGCGCUCCUUAGAGGGACUGUUGGCGUCUAGCCAAUGGAAGUAUGAGGCAAUAACA